AUUGAACGCUGGCGGCAUGCUUUACACAUGCAAGUCGAACGGCAGCGCGGGUGCUUGCACCUGGCGGCGAGUGGCGAACGGGUGAGUAAUAUAUCGGAACGUGCCAUAGAGUGGGGGGAUAACUAGUCGAAAGAUUGGCUAAUACCGCAUACGAUCUAAGGAUGAAAGUGGGGGAUCGCAAGACCUCAUGCUCUUUGAGCGGCCGAUAU
rnacentral:rRNA from 1 species